UUACGGCUAUAUUAUGUUGACACACCGGUUCUCAUACGCUCACCGAAGUUAAGCAACAUCGACCCUGGUCGGUACCAAGGUGUGUGACCGCUUGCGGAUACCAAGUGCUGUUA